AACUCAUCCAUCAUUUUGUGAAAUUGCUAAAGAAGAAAAUUGGAUAAGACACAGCAGAGAAAGAUUAUGAAUUUGCUAAUCUCCAGAGCAAGCACUGCAACAAUAUACCCUAAUCCAUAUAGCCAGCACACUCCCUCCCUGUAGGAGCCAUGCUGAAAUUGUCUGCUCAGCCUGGAUUGGAAGAUGAUCAUAGUAGGUUCAAAGUGAAAGUGAAUGGCAGAGAUCCCCCACAUACCUCCACCAUGCCCAUCACAACCCUCCAUUAUCCCUGCU